rnacentral:rRNA from 1 species
UACAGAGGUCCCGAGCGUUGUUCGGAUUCACUGGGCGUAAAGGGUGCGUAGGCGGCGCGGUAAGUCGGGUGUGAAAUCUCGGAGCUUAACUCCGAAACUGCAUUCGAUACUGCCGUGCUUGAGGACUGGAGAGGAGACUGGAAUUUACGGUGUAGCGGUGAAAUGCGUAGAUAUCGUAAGGAAGACCAGUGGCGAAGGCGGGUCUCUGGACAGUUCCUGACGCUGAGGCACGAAGGCCAGGGGAGCAAACGGG